GAUUUCUGUGAAUAGACCAGAAGCCGACCUUUACAGUGUGUUUGGGUGCAGAUUCUAGAGGAUGUCUGUGUGCCUUUCUCCCCUUUCAAACGAUAGGGAAGAUAUACUGAGUCCUAUCUUCAGCUAGGGGAUGCCCUGGCCUCCUUCCUCCUAUCUUCAAAGCCUGCAAGAGUGGGCUGAGUCCUUCUCACUCCACCCUCUUCUUUUGUGUACCUUUUCCACUUGUAAGGACCCUUGUAAUUGCAUUGGAUUCACCUGGAUAACCCAGACUCAUCUCCCUAUUUUAAGAGAUGGGGUCUCCUCAUGUUGCCCAGCUGAUCUUGAACUCCUGUGGUCAAGCAAUCCGCCCGCCUUCACCUCCCAAAAUUCUUGGAUCACAGGCAUAUGCCACCACA